CCUCCAAGAUACAAUUCACUUGCUCAUACCCUAGACAAAUGAACAGAACUGGUGUCAGUAUUCUGUGCUCCUGAGACACCUGAGCUCAUCUCCAAGGACUUUCUACCACUUCAUUUUGGAAACAACCUAAAUGUCCAUUGA
rnacentral:lncRNA from 1 species